rnacentral:tRNA from 1 species
UAAAUUGAAGCCAAACUAGAGGCAUUUUAUUGUUAAUAAAAUCAUUGAAUUUUUUAAAUUCCAAUUUAC